UUUUAAUCCCACUAAAAACUGAACUUAAAUCACCUGCGUAAUAUCCAAUAUAUCUGGUUCCAGGGCCCUAAUGGGAAGAGGGAGAGGUUGAGUUUUAGUGGGUCUGGAUGUCCUGUUAUCCCGACAUCAAUCCCACACUCCCCAUUGGCAGAGGUUUUUUGCAAUGGGGGGUCUUUUGAAGAUUUCCCCCUCUCCAUAA
rfam:Asian citrus Psyllid, Diaphorina citri - Florida Strain, whole genome shotgun sequence.